rnacentral:lncRNA from 1 species
CGGCUAGAAUUAAAUUACAAUAAUAAAUUAUCAUAUUCUGCAUUCAAACUGAAAUUCUUAUUGUUGGUUGCCUUUGUGUAAUUUCUCCUUUUUCUUUCCCUAUCUUUCCUUUUAUUAGUUCUUUCCUUUAAGUAAUCCUUACAUUAGCUGUACGCUUCUGUCAUAAGUGCCACAAUGGUGACAUGUUUUCUAAUUAUCCCAACCACAUUUUCAGGAGCCAUCCAAAAUCAUUUGGCGACACUGGCAAGCACGGUGAUACUAAAUAGGAAUAAAGCUCUUGCUCAACGCUGAAGAGAAAGAAGACCGCGCACUGGAAUGGCAGGAGAGGCCAGACUGGCAAGAGGUCCUGUUGACCAAUACUGGUGUGUCAGGUGGGGCCCAGUAGAUUUGCCAGAGGGGGAGACCGAGGCAACAUUGGAGAAUAUAAAGAGGGAUCUGCUGAACAUCUACUCAGGCAUGUCAUCUACUCUCUUACUACCUCUGACCAAUGAACAAUAUUUAUCCUUUAUCCUAAAUCCAUGCUAUUGUGUGUUAACUAUGUUACAGUCAUGUGCCACUGCUGUGGACGCCAAUACUGCAGAACUCCCCGGUACCCCCUGCUUGAUCAUUCAAGGUGACAUGAUGAAGCCCUCUGGAUGGCUUAUAUCCAUCAAGGGACAUGUCGUGAUGGGCCCACACCCUUUAUUUUUACACGGAGUAGCACUUUCUUCAGCAGCUAUUACGUAUUCAACCUUGAGUAUCCUACCGCUGGAUCUUCGACGCUGGAGUUCAUUCAAAGGUAUUUUAUAA